rnacentral:sRNA from 1 species
AGCAGCCGCGGUAAUUCCAGCUCCAAUAGCGUAUAUUAAAGUUGUUGCAGUUAAAAGCUCGUAGUUGAAUUUCGGGAUUAAUUUACUGGUCGUGCUAUCGUACGUACUGGUUUUAUUGAUUCCUCCCUUCUGACGAACUAUGAUGUCAUUAAUUUGGUGUCAUAGGAAAUCAGGACUGUUACUUUGAAAAAUUAGAGUGUUUAAAGCAGGCUCACGCUUGAAUACAUUAGCAUGGAAUAACGGAAUAGGACGUUUGAUUCUAUUUUGUUGGUUUCUAGGAUCGACGUAAUGAUUAAUAGGGAUAGUUGGGGGCAUUAGUAUUCAAUUGUCAGAGGUGAAAUUCUUGGAUUUAUUGAAGACUAACUACUGCGAAAGCAUUUGCCAAGGAUGUUUUCAUUAAUCAAGAACGAAAGUUAGGGGAUCGAAGACGAUCAGAUACCGUCGUAGUCUUAACCAUAAACUAUGCCGACUAGGGAUCGGAUGAUGUUAAUUUUUUAAUGACUCAUUCGGCGCCUUACGG